UCCCAGACUCCUACGGGAGGCAGCAGUGGGGAAUAUUGCACAAUGGGGGGAACCCUGAUGCAGCGACGCCGCGUGAGUGAAGAAGUAUUUCGGUAUGUAAAGCUCUAUCAGCAGGGACGAAGAUGACGGUACCUGCAGAAGAAGCCCCGGCUAACUACGUGCCAGCAGCCGCGGUAAUACGUAGGGGGCAAGCGUUAUCCGGAUUUACUGGGUGUAAAGGGGGCGCAGACGGCAGCGCAAGCCAGGAGUGAGAGCCCGGGGCCCAACCCCGGGACUGCUCUUGGAACUGCGCGGCUGGAGUGCAGGAGGGGCAGGCGGAAUUCCUGGUGUAGCGGUGAAAUGCGUAGAUAUCAGGAGGAACACCGGUGGCGAAGGCGGCCUGCUGGACUGCGACUGACGUCGAGGCCCGAAAGCGUGGGGAGCAAACAGGAUUAGAUACCCCAGUAAG
rnacentral:rRNA from 1 species